GCCUUUGUAGCUCAGUGGAUAGAGCGACCGCCUCCUAAGCGGUAGGUCGCAGGUUCGAUUCCUGCCAAGGGCACCA
rnacentral:tRNA from 3 species